rnacentral:rRNA from 1 species
AGUAAUGCCUAGGAAUCUGCCUGGUAGUGGGGGGACGAACGUUUCGAAAGGAACGCUAAUACCGCAUACGUCCUACGGGAGAAGCNGGGACCUUCGGGCCUUGCGCUAUCAGAUGAGCCUAGGUCGGAUUAGCUAGUUGGUGAGGUAAUGGCUCACCAAGGCGACGAUCCGUAACUGGUCUGAGAGGAUGAUCAGUCACACUGGAACUGAGACACGGUCCAGACUCCUACGGGAGGCAGCAGGA